rnacentral:rRNA from 1 species
UGUAAGCGUAUACCAAAGUUGUUGCAGUUAAAACGCUCGUAGUCGGAAUUUGGCAGUUCCGGAUGUGUGCACGUCGUGUGCGCACUUCGCGGGGAUUGCUUUUGUGGUCUUGCGUAGGAUGAGGCACUUUUAUUAGUGAACGUCCUCACGCAACCACUUUUUACUGUGAGUAAAUCAGAGUGCUCAAAGCAGGCAUUUGCCGUGAAUGUAUUAGCAUGGAAUAAUAGAAUAGGACUUGGUUCUAUUUUGUUGGUUUGUUGGGACUGAGUAAUGAUUAAGAGGGACAGUUGGGGGCAUUUGUAUUUCGGUGCUAGAGGUGAAAUUCUUAGAUUACCGAAAGACAAACUGCUGCGAAAGCGUCUGCCAAGGAUGUUUUCAUUGA